AGGUAACUACUUCGAUUUCAUCGAAGUUGAAGAAUCAAAGAAUUAGAUUAGGAUAGAUUGUAGCAUAGAUUGGAGAUUAAGAUAAUUCGAAUUAGAUUAGGAUAGAUUUUAGCAGUCUUCUAUGAGGCCUAAUAGUAUGGUAGACAGCGUCACACCAAAGCCACUGUCAAUCGCCAAAAAAAAGAAAUAUUGGUCUCUCCUCGCUAGGCAUUCAAUUCCAAGUCUCCCUGUGGCCAUAUCGGAGUAAAAGGGAUGGCAGAUGAGCUGAAAACCAGGGGCAAAGUUUGGCGGAGCUGCUGCAGUUGAAACCCUAAAACUCCUCCGAUGAGCCCCUUUUUGUUUCCCAUUUUACACAAUUUUUUGACCAUUUUGUUCACUGUCCUUUUCUAUACAGGUUAGCCGAAGAAAAAACCCCAACCGCGAAGGAGAACCAGCAAAGACGCCGGUAGGUUCGGUUUCUUGUGAUUUUUUGGUGAACUGAUGCCCUCUAACGUAUUUUUUUUAUAAGGAUACGUGUAAAAUCGGUCAAAACUAGCUAGGCCGAAACGAAC
rnacentral:lncRNA from 1 species